AUCUGAAUCCACAUUUGCUUCCAAGAAUGUUCUAUUUUUCUAGCCUGAUGAUUAUAGCUGGUAAAACACACAACUAAAACACACCAUUAUAGAGCAUCUACAAAUAUACAGAGGAUAAGGAUACAAAAAUGCUUAAAGGAGGAGGCAAAUCUUAUUUUAAAAAUAGUUUUAUUUUAUGCAAAUCUCUUUUCAAACAGCUAAAAAUUCUGACCCUGAGUUGAUUGGCCAUAUAUGCAGCACUGGUAAUAUAACAUAUGAUUCUCUCUUUGGAAAUGUUUUCUUUCAUGUGACUACAACUACAUUCUCUUAUUGUCAUAAUUCUACUACAGAUUCAUGGUUUUACCUUUUCAGAUAUUUAUUGUCUUUUUAACAUUAUCUUAGAUGAAUUGAAAGUCGCUAGAUCUUGGAUAUAAUAAUAGUGAUUAAUCCGACCCUCUUAUUUAUCCAUCCAUCUCUGCAACAUGCAUCAGUAUUAUCAAAGCUCAUUUUCCCCAACCUGACAUCCUUUCAGAUGCCUUGAGACUGGAGAAUUCAGUUCCACCAGAGAAGAGGCAGAAGCUUCCAGGCAGAAGCAGCUGCCAGGAUGCUGAAACUCAGAGAAAAGGGCUCCAAACAUUUGGAGGACAAAUCACAAGAAAGCAAUGGAAAGGGGGAGGGCUCAUAUGUCAUACCAUUUAUACUCUUGAAAUGAGUUGGGAUUAAAAUUCUGAAUUUCUCUGUGUUAUGGAUUUGUUGCUUGGAAAGUCUGGGGAUAGGUAAGGAAUGUACCUUUGAACAUGGCAAACUUUAAUACAGGUAUAGUUAUCACUUCAAAUGUUUUUUUCUCAUACAUUAAACAAAAAGAGAUUAAUUGCUGCUGCACUUUUGGUUCACUUUUAUCAGAAUGUCUGUGCAUUUAGUAACAUUCAUACAACCUCUGCUUAAAUACUUGAGUUUUUCUUUCAUCUCUGACCUCUUUCAGCUCAGGUAAAAAAUAAUGCAGAAUUCUGUGACCUGGAUCUGUUACAGUUAAUGUGACAAAUUAAGGUAAAGAGGCAUAAAAAUGCAAUGACACUCUUUGUUUUUCAAGGAACAUUGGAGACAAGAUAAGUAAAGCCCCAUGGCAAUGUAAUUAUUUUAGUUAGAAAAUAAAUCAGUUGUGCAAGAUGAGUUGCAGUUACAUAUUUGAUCAGAAUUAUAAACUGCAAUGAAAAUGCAAGAGCAGACACUGUUGAAUGUCUCUUACAGAUAACCAUUAGUUUAGACAUUUUAAAAAGUCUUAAUAAAUUAUUUCAUGUUUUAAGCAUACACCUGCCUAUCCACUGGAGCCUCAGUUGCAACUAUGUUUGUAGUUUUACCAUAUUAAAUAUGCAAGUUUUCAUAAAUAUACACAAUUAUGGCAAUUUUUCCAGCAGUUUUAAUCUACUCUGUUAGCUGUGAUACUGGAAGGACAGCAUGAUAACAUUUUCACAGCCAAGAGCUUUUCAUAAGCUCUUAAUGAUGGUUACUGGCUGUAGUUUGAAAAUUCUACAUGGGGGAGAAUGGGGGACUAAUAAUCGACCUUAACUCAGAAGCUAGGAAUUGUGUUAUAUAAAUAUGCUACCUAUUUAUGCAGUGAAAUCAAAUUUAGCAGAUGUUUAUUCAACUGAUUUGAUGAGUUGAAUAGUUAAUUAACACUGUUUAUUCAAGGAAAAUCAAGCUUUUUAAACAGGGAUUGUGCAAUUAACUAGAAAGACCAAAAACAAGUUUGCCUACAUUCCAGAUAUAUGGUUCACUGGACUGGAUUGGACAGGACUGGACCUUUAUUGUCACUUUAAAUGUACACUAAUGCAUACAUUAAAAUGAAUUUUCAUUUCAUUCAUCUCUCAAAAGAUAACCAUUAUGCCUAUACUUAUAUAGACACACAUAUAUGACACAGAGAAACAUUGCAGUCUUGUUUGAAUAAAUAGAUAUAUAUGGAGAGAGGAAAAAAAAGAAUCCUGAAAAUUUAGAAUACAGAAAGCAUAAGGAACAAAGCUAUUAGAUUUAAAUUAGACUCUCAAGCCUCCAUUUUGCAGCCUUCAGAACUCCACUGUCAUAUCAUUGCUGAAACUAUGCCACAGUUUACAGUAAGGAAUGAAUAUGUGCUCAAAGAAGUAAAAAUAGCUGUGUACAUUUAUUAUCAUGCUGUUACAACAAGUGUGUACAAGUGUGCUGUUACACUCAAGAAUGAAUAGCAUAUAAAAGAAUGUAGAUGAACAUAGGUGUAAAUGACACUAUGUAAGAAAUAUGGACAUGCAGAAAAAAUGAGUUGGGGUUGUGUCAUAAAACAAAUAAAUGAAGAAUGACUGAACUUGUUCAGAAGAAGGGAAACAUGCAGAAAGCUGGAGUUGGGUAGAACUGGUGAGAACCCCAGAAAGACAAAGAUGAGAGAGAUAUAAAAAGGCAUACAGUUGUGGUGGCAGCAAGCACUGUUUGCAAAGGAUUGAACGUAUGUAAGGUAUUGUAAAUGGUGUUCAAUUUAAAUUAGAUAUAGUUUAAUUUAGCUGUACUUUGUAUCCCCUCAUUUUAUCCCUUUAAAUGUAUUUUGCUUAUGAGUGUUUAUUGUUUUCUACACUUUGGAUAAAGUUGUUUACUCCUAAAAGGAAUAAUAAGAUGGAUGCAUGUAUGGUUCAGUUCCAUAUGUUCGGGACUUUAAAGUGGAGCCAGGAAAAAAGAAAAAAGUUUGAUGCAAGUUGUUUAAAUCUGAUUUAGGGGCACAUAGUGCCUAUGUGGCAAUUCAUAGUGAAUAGAAAAUAAGUGAUCUUAUGCUUCUCCAGAACAUUCAAAACACAAGACAAGAUAAUUGUUGGUCUAUGGUCUGAAUUACGGAUGAAUCAACAAUGGGGUAUUUGAUCCAAUUUUAAUUUUUGGUUCUUGCUGCCAGACUUGCCUGCAUUUUCUCCUCAAAUACACCUCUGUCUGCCAGUGCUUAUUUGUUCCCCAACUCAGCUUUCAAAUAUUCUGAGACCAAGCCAAUAAAAUGUAAUUGUUUUUGCAGAUUAUGUGUUUUGAAGUUAACUCUGCAGAUGCUGAAAAAAAAAGUGGAAAGGGGCUCUUUUUCCUGGGGAAGAUAAAGCUUGUAGCUGCAAAAUACAUUUUAACGGCAAUCUUAAAGGAUGAAUUAAUACAAUCAGCUGGUAAAUUGGUUGUCAGCUCAAAAGACAAAUGAAUGCAGGAUGGACAAGAAGUCCUUUUCCCAACCAUAAGCAGAAAUAACCCCUUUCCAAACUUUCAGGCCUCUUGGACACUGAAAAAUGGUUAAGUACUGGAUGAUAAGAGGAAGUGAAUAUUGUGCCUCAAUUCAAACUGCAAAAGAGGAACCAGGAAAUUAAAGACAAAUCAGUCCGACAUUGCCCCUGGAAAAACACUCAAGCAGCUCCUACUAUGACAUGUAAUACCUCAUUAGAAUGUGAGAAAAAUAUAGACAUAAUGUAUACACUUUCAGCAAAGAAUCAUCAUGAGACAGGACAUUCUGACAGCAAGCUAGUUAAGUAUGACAUAUUUAUCAGGUGGUUGUACAGCUGCUUGAAAACUACCCCAAAGCGUAAUUUUCACCAAACUGGAGUGAGAUAAGACAUAAGAACUAAGACAUAAGAACUAAGAUUUGAUUAUAGGCCUGGUUAUGAUCAAUAUUUUUAUUAAAUAAGAUAAAGAAAUCGAAAGAAUACUUAUCACAGCUAAAGACAUGCAACUGGGUGUGAUAAAUAUACUUUAGAACAGGGUCCCUAAACUCUUUAGUUUAGUGACCCCUUCAUGAAGCUUCAAAUUAUUCAUCAACCCACAAGACAUUUAUAAUAUAAAUAUUAUUUAAUAAUUACUAAUUAAAUUAAUAAUACUAUAAUGUAGAAUGAAUUGUCCCAUUGACCCUUGGGGUUGAUAUUGACCACUUUGUAGAACCUUACUUUAGAAGAUAGAAACAACAUUCAGAAUCACUACAAUGGAUUACAGAAAGUAAUACAGUAAUAUAAAUUAUACAUAAAUUGAAAGUUAUUCAAAAGAAAUGAAAUACAUAGUAUAGUAUAGAAUAUUUGAUUUAAUAAUAGGAACUUGGAAUUGUAAUUGAACACAACCUGACUGCAAAUCAACAAUGUUUUACAAUGUGCUAAAAAACAAAUGUACAUUUUUGGAUGAAACAAUAUAAUUUCCAAAUUAUAUACGGGUAGAUUUCUACUGCGUAUUGUGCUGCUCAAACCCACUAGAGUUCUGGACACCACAUUCUAAAAGAAAUUCUAAAAAAUUGAAGCCAGCUGGGUGACCUUAGGGCAGUUACUCUCCCUCUCCCUCAGCUGUAGGAAAAAGGCAAUGGCAAACCACUUCUGAAACCUUGCCAAGGAAACUGCAGGGAUUAGAUCAGGGAGUUCCCAGGUGUCAACAAUGACUAGAAAGCACAGGCACACGCACAUAGAGACACAAAGUUAUAUAGGAAGACAGAUUGCAGCCAGAUAGAUAGAUAGAUAGAUAGAUAGAUAGAUAGAUAGAUAGAUAGAUAGAUAGAUAGAUUACUACAAUGGAAAUAAACUCCCAUUCACUGGAUGUAUCAAAGCUAUAGGAGCAAUAAUUUCUGAACUGACUUAAAACCUAAUCAUUUUAGUUCCUCUUCUGGUACUGCCUCAAACCAAUGUCUUGAAUUAUAUGGUGAAAAUAAAAACAAAUAAACCAACUUCUAGAAAGGUUCUCUUCUGUUUGGAUUCACUCCUAAGAGUAGGUUAAAAACAGGCAUCUUAUUAUUGUUUGGAUUAAAAGCUGAACAUCACUCUACUUCCCUUAUGCAAUAAUCGCCUGGAUUAUUGCAAUGCUCUCUACAUGGGGCUCCCCUUGAGGGGCAUCCGGAGGCUCCAGUUAGUUCAGAAUGCAGCUGCGCGGGUGAUAGAGGGAGCCCCUCGUGGCUCCCGUGUUACACCUAUCCUGCGCAGACUGCACUGGCUACCUGUGGCCUUCCGGGUGCGCUUCAAGGUGCUGGUGACAAUCUUUAAAGCGCUCCAUGGCAUAGGGCCGGGCUAUUUACGGGACCGCCUACUGCUACCAAAUACCUCUCACCGACCCGUGCGCUCUCACAGAGAGGGACUCCUCAGGGUGCCGUCAGCUAGGCAGUGCUGUCUGGCGACACCCAGGGGAAGGGCCUUCUCUGUGGGGGCUCCCACCCUCUGGAACGAACUCCCUCCAGGACUUCGCCAACUUCCGGACCUCCGAACCUUUCGUCGCGAGCUUAAAACACACUUAUUUAUCUGCGCGGGACUGGAUUAGAUUUUAAAGUUAUGGGUUUUAAGGGGUUUUUAUUAUUUAUACUAUUUUAAAUUUGGGGCAAUAGAAUAAGUUUUUAAAUUGUUUUUUAAUCUGUAUUUAUAUGUAUUUUAACUGCCUGUGAACCGCCCUGAGUCCUUAGGGAGAUAGGGCGGUAUAUAAAUUUGAAAAAUAAAUAAAAUAAAUAAAUAAAUAAAUGUACACUCUACUUCCCUUAAUUUAAGAUUUAAUUCACUUGAAGAGUUCACCUUUUUGAAAAACUGUCAUUGCUCAAUUUAUUUACCUUGUACAGUGUGAGAGAUACUUUAGUGAAGAAAUUAAACAGUUGCUAAAUUUAGGUGAUAGCUAAUAAAUACUAUACUACUUUCCCAAUCCUUGUUAUUGGUAUGUAACAUGCAACAGCAUUUUAGUAUUCAGUCAAUUACACAAGCUAACUCAUUUCACUACUGAAAGAUGGGCGAGGAAGAUGAUCAUCAAAUGGAACAGUUCUAAUGCUGCAGGCACAAUGAAUUUCCUAGAUUGGUUCUGAGGCUAUCUUAGCCCAUCCUUGAUACAAUGGACCCUUCUGAUCUUAAAGAGUGACUUUUUUUAAGACAGAGAGAGAUGUUAUUGAAAGAAUAUUUAUUCCAUUUCCCCAUUUUAAAGGGAAAGGCUUUUUGUAGCAUGAAAACAAUUAGGACUAUGCAAUUAUUUGAAAUAGCAUAUGGAGACAACCAAAAGAAGCUUUUGAAGCAGUGCCAUGAGGCUUAGCAAAUGACAUGAUUGGAUCUAACAGUUCAAAAAGAGGUGCAUUGCAUGGGUUUCUCUUUAUUGUCAAGCACUUCUUCUUCAAAACACUCUACAAAUAGGCAAUUUGUGUAUAUCUAUCUCUAUCUAUCUAUCUAUCCACACAAUAUAUAAGUCAUAUAUUAUUAUAUAUACAUGACAUGAAAGGACCGCUUGCCUGGAAAUGAUUGAUGGGUCCGAAAGCCCUUUCUGUCAGAUGGUCUGUCCUGUUGACUAGAAAAUGAUCUCUGGGACUGGUGGUACUCAGGUACUGGAUCAGAGGCCUGAAAGGGCUGUCUCUGGAAAUAGGGAGCUGGGCGAUGUUUCCGCUGCCUGAAGGAGGUAAGCAUGCCCUUGCCUUUGCCCUUGGUGUCAAUAAGGAUGGGCUCCAAUGUCUCCCUGAACAACUUACUACCCAUAAAGAGAGCAGUUACCAGCUUCCAUUUAUUUUUAUUGUCGGCUUGCCAAUGGCGAAGCCAUAGAAAGUGAUGGGUUGUCACGGUAGAAGCGAUGGACCGAGAUGCAAACUUUGCAGCAUUCAGGGUAGCAUCAGCAGAAUAUUCAGAGGCAGCCACCAACUUAUUGAUGUCCUGGUGAAACCGGACAUUGUCUGGGGGCACUCUUACCUGCAGCUGACGGAGUCAGAGCGGAAGGCUCAGUUAAAAAAAGAAGCAGAGGUGGCGGCCUUUAUCACCCAGGUCGCUGCUUCGUGCACCUUGCGGGGGCUCAAUUCUGCCUUUCUAUCUUCAGUCUUAAGGCAGUCCAUGGCAUCAGUGGGAAGAGGGCAGCAGAAUGUAACUGUUGUGUCUGCGGGCCCCAAGCCGGGCUUCCUGGCAGAGAGUGACUCGGAGAGUCAGGGGGAAGAGCCGACAGGGCUUCCCUCUGCAGAAACUUCCUCUCUGGCUCCGCUCCAGAUUCCAGAGGCAGGCCAGGUGGAGGAAGAGGAGCUAACACGGCCUCUUUCCCCUGAUCCCUCCUUCCCCCUGGCAACGCCCUAAGAGCCAGCUGAGGAGGAUCAAUCGUGGCUAGAUGCAAGGCAGCGACGCCGAGUGAAGCGUGCACAGCAAAAGAAAGGAAGGGGCCGGCCCAGGGCGUGCUGAGUUAUGGAGCCACAUCCCACAGGGUAUAAAAGUGGGUGGAGCUGCCUUUGGGCUCCGUGACAGACAAAAACUGACUUUUGGAAACUUCGGCUGCUUUAUUGCGAGACUCAGGAAUUGGCUUUUCGGACUUCUGUUCACUUCUGAACUCUGGGUUGCUCCAGCAAAAGACCGCAGUAGCAUUGCAGAGAUAAGGAGGACUUGGCAGGCAAUCGCAGGUUCGUUGCCAGAGCUGAUAUCUGUAGGAAGAAUAAAUUGCUGGCAAAUACAGUCAGCUCGUGUGUCUUCUGGGGGGUGGUUGAGGGGGGCAGAACAGUAACACUGCCACCGGGCCAUCUACCUCUGGUAUUUUCAGAACCUGUGACAGGUCUGUAGCCACAUUAUGCAGCUUUCUCUCCAUCCCAGUUGGAGGAGGCCCUGACCCGGGCUGGGCCCACUGUCUUUGGACAACAUCCAAGAAGAGCUUGGGUGAUGUAAUUACUUCCUGCUCCGCGGUUGGCUCCAAAAAGAGCAUACAACUGGAGUCCCUUGUACUGGGAGCUGGCUCAGGCAAUGGGUCAGGUCCUAUGUUGGUGAUGGCCUUGGCCUUGUGAAGCAAGGAGUGAAACAAGUCAAGCUGAGUCCCCUCCGUGAUCUGCGGGCAGCACCAAGGGUCUGACAAAGCAAGACCCACCUCCAGGAGGCUGGCAGGGACCUUGGCUGAGCCAGCUGGAUAGACGGCGGAGCAGCAGACCACUCAGCUGCCGGACUCGCAAUCCACAACUGUCAAAGAUCUUUAAGGCUGGUAGUGAAAGGAAAUCCAGGAGCUAAGUUGCAAUGGAGAAUUAAGAAAAGCAGUCUUGUUUGGCUGAAGACUGAGCUGAACUGGGGACUAGCCAGGCAAGAAGGCGUUGCCAAAAAUGAUGACAUGCUCAGUCUCCAGGCAAAAGAGAGAGAGCAACACCUAUUCCUGCAUUCCCUCCACCCAGCACCAUGGAUAAACUGUUUGGACAAGCCUUGCUGACUGUGAAUGAAAGUAAUUCACAGUUGUGUAAAUAAAAGAGGUUUUGCCGGGACCAAGACUCUGCUUCCUGCUUUUUAAGGGAGCCUAAAGAUCAGAACAAUUGCAGCUUUAGCCAUGUAUAGGAAAUCUUUGCUGGAGAAGUUGGGUUGAAAAGGAGACCACCAAGGCAGUGAGGUACUGGCUCAAAAGAAAAAAAGUUGGUGCAGGGAACCAGCGAAGGUAAGUGGGUAAAUGAAUGCUUGCUGCUGCUUGCUGAGGCUUCUCAAGACAUAGCAAGCAGCUGCAGAACUGUACGGUUCUGAGGCUGUUUGCUUCCCUUGCAAGGCCAAAUAUAGGGAAGUCAAAAGGACAGAGAUGGCGGCAUGGUAAUAGUAAGGAGUGAGAAACUCAAGUGCCCCUAAGGUCUUACGAGUGGACAUGCUGCCAAGUGUCUGAAUUUGAAUCACAGGAUUGUGGAGGUGCUACAAAGACCAUAAUUUUGGACACACAUUGUAAGUCUGUUCUUGAAUGGUUGCUGAAUGAAUGGUCAUAAGUUGAGGAUCAUGAAACAAAGACUACCUAUUUAUACCAUAACUGAGGUAUCAGAAACAUAUUAUUUUUGAGAUGAGAAUGAAACAUCAAAUAUUGUUCUAGGAUUCACUAUUAGUUGCUAAAGGGCUUCCCCUUCUAAUUCAUGAAGGGGAAAAAGCUCCAGGAGUUCAAUGGUGAUGGAUAAGAUAUUUCAUGUGAUGAAAGCACUUUCUGUCAAUUUUCACGCAGAGCAGAAUGUGUACAGAUUUUGCCUUAAAUUCUUCAUUAUACAGAGAUGAGCUCUGAGCCCAACACUUCAAAGCAACUAGAAAAAGGUUUAUAAAAGUUAUAAAGGAGCAAUAUAGUUUGAUUAUACCUUAAUAUAGCAGGAAUGAUAGAAUUAUAAAUAUAAAUCUAUGGAAUGAUUGGAAUAAGAACCAAAUUGUUAUUCCAGUUCUGAGGCUGUGAAUAUUGCUUUCCCUCCUUACUAAUCCCCGUAAAGCUGAAAAACUUUUCUGACUUAUAAUUUGCAUCUUCCCAAAGCAAAGGCAAACUUGGCUUUCUGUUGGAAAAGAGAUGAUGGUUCAUUGAAUAAUCUGACAUGUAUUUGUGCUUUCUUAAAGAUUAGUUUGAUAUUUAAAAAUAAUCCAAAGUCCUAGCCACUUUGAACAUAUUUAUACAGCAUUAAACCACUCACCUAUUCAAAGUCCUGUAUUGAACAGGAUAAAUUCUACCCCAAAAGAGCAAAAGAAAACAUAAACUUGACCUGUUAAUUUAAAUGGGCAGGCAUAUCAUAGUACACAAAGAUCAAACUUUGAGACCACACACACACAAACACAUUCCUUCAGAAGGUAAAAAGGUUUAGAAGUCUGUGUUUGCAGACUUGGCUAAAACAAGAGAAGGAAACAUUGGGAUGCUGAAGCUGCUGUCCUGUUAAUUAUACAGAGUUUUCUAUCACUUCCUACAUCUACCCCAUUUGUGAAAUGCAUGACUUGAAGAUAUAUCCGAAACAUACAUAGCAAAUCUUUUCCUGUUCUGUUUGUCAUAUAUCCUAUGUCCCAGUUUUAGUUUUGGAAAACUACUUCCUCCAUUGUGUUUCCACUGUAAAUUCAGCCCAAGGAAAUGGAACAAGGGAGAGGAGAGAGAAAAACAGAAAGAAUAAUUCUGGUUGCAAUCAUAACCACUCUUAAAAUGAUUGCAACUUCUAUGCAUAUCAAAGCUUUACUGAAACUGCUUAUUUGCUGUGCAACUCAGGGGAAACUAAAAUCAACUUUCCAUGCUUUAUUAUUCUUGCCCUCAUCUGAUAUAAAAAUAAUCAGUUUUUUGUUUGAUAUUUUCAGAGCAAUUUGUCUAGAAGAAAUUAUACAGAAAAGUUGUUAAUCAUUUCCUGUGAUUAAACAGACGGAUUGAAAACGAAUUGAUAUAUGUUUAACCCACACUGAAAACGUUUAGAGAUUUUUAAAAAUGUUCUUUGAAAAAAAAAAACCACAUGCAUGCACACAGUUUUAUGAUGUAACAAGAGCUUGUUGAAACAAUAGCUUUUUUUUGUAGCCGUAUACCCUAGAAAUCGAAACCAUAAGGUAAUUACCAAAGGGAAUGGGAAUCCUUUGUAAUAUCCCUCAGAUCUUUCCGGUUAUUGCUCUCUCAACAAGACUGCUGAGCUAGUGACCUAUUUGGCGGAUAUAGAAACCCAAGCAUUAUAACGUUGGAGUGCUCUAAUAUAGAAAGCAGAUUUUUCCUGGGGAGGCUUCAAGGUCCCUAAACUGGCAAUAGCUCCAUAAACAGAGGGGGAAAUGUGUAAAGGGGCCUGAUGGAGAGGAGGGGAAAAGGUCCAACAUAUAAUUUUUUCCCUUUUGAGCUGCCAACCUGAGCAGUUAGGGAGUUUUACUUCUCCGUGGGAAGUAGAAAGAAUGAGCCAAAAAGCUUGACAAUUGGAAAGGGCCAGGAAUGAAAACGAAGGGAGAAAUUAAAACCAAGUAAUGAAGUUUCCAGUUAGCCCUUUCCAACCCAAAUCUGGAAAGCAAAGAGGAAAAAUGAUAAUGGGCUGCCACUUUAUAUAGAAAAGGUUUCAAGUUCUACACAAAACUGAUCUUGAGUUGCAUCUGUCUUUCUUUAAAUGAGAGUCAAACCUUUGUUUGUUUUGGAGAUAGACUAAUUUUCUGUUUAUGGAAAUGAAUUUCAGAAGAUGUGAAUCAUUGUUAUGUAGAAUUGAUCAGGAAUCUUUCUUAGCCCUACCUAGAAACGCCAGAAUUGAAUAGAAAUUUUUGCAUGCAAAGCAUAUGCCAAUACUUUUUGUUAGAUUGGAGCCAAUUCAAAAAAUCGAUUAUAUUUUGCUUUCAGGGUUGCACACACUGCUACUUUGCCAACCCUAAUAAUGACUGUAUGGACAAAGUGCUGCUCCCAGCUCUCAAUUUCAUAAUAGCUUACUAUGUUUUAUUUUAAUUCAUUCUAAUUCAUUCUCAAUGCUACAUGAAGAGGCUGGGUUAAUACUCCAGUAUUUAAAUCUGAGAAUUUUUAAUGAAUAUAUUGUAUAUUGCUUAUAUGUAUAUAAUAUCUUGUAUUUUUUUCCAGGAAGGAAUCUUACAAAUUUUCGUAACUAGAAAUUCAUAUGGAGACAAGGACUAAUGUGUCCUGUUUAUCAUACUAAACUGUAGGUAAGGCCAGGUAGUCCUUGACUUAAAAGAGUUCAUUUAGUGACCAUUUGAAGUUACAGCAGCAUUGAAAAAAAUGACUUAUGAUAAUUUUUCAUACUUAUGACCAUUGCAUCAUUCUGAUGGUCACAUGAACAAAAUUUGGACACUUGGCAACUGACUGAUAUUUAUGAUGGUUGCAGUAUCCCAGGGUGAUGUGAUUUGCAACCUUCCAACAAGCAAAGUCAAUGGGGAAGCCAGAUUCAUUUAACAACCGUGUUACUAGCUUAUCAACAGCAGUGAUUUUAACAACUGUGGCAAGAAAGGUCGUAAAAUGGGGCAAAGCUUAAUAACUGUCUCACUUAGCAACAGAAACGUUGGGCUCUGUUGUGGUCCUAAGUCGAGGACUACUUGUAAUUGGCUCAGCUUAUAGCUUUAUCCAUUAUUUAUCCAUUCAAUAAAACUGUUAAAACAAUAUGGCUCUUCACCGAACACCUUAGUCUCCAUGGGACUAUAGUAUGUGGUAAAAGCACUGUGGUUUAUAAAGACAACUUGCUUGUAAAUAUUUCAGAAACGUUACCUUUGUGCCAUUGGUACUUUGGGCAGGUUUCAUCCCACAAGUGAUACCAGAAGUUGAAUUUUAGGACCAAACUUUGGGCAAAUCAACUUGUAAAAGAAAUCCACAUAAUGUCAGUUCGUAAGAAGUUAACGUACAUAACACCAGAUCACUUUUAUUAAAAAUAUAUGUUCAUGCUCAGUAGUAGAGGUAUAAUUCUAACAUAUACCCAUAAACUAUGUGGGAAUUUUUUCUUCAGUGUUAUUUAUAUUUGUUCCCUUUCCACAUUUUAUAUUAAUAUCGUGUGUUUUCCCGAAAAUAAGACCCUGUCUUAUAUUUUUUUGAACCCUGAAAUAAGCGCUUGGUCUUAUUGCCAUGCACUCAAAAGCCUGAUUAGGCUUAUUAUCAGGGGGUGUCUUAUUUUGGGAAAAACAGGGUAGAAGGGCCAUAUGAAGCACUAAAAAAGGUUAAAUGGUGAGAACAUUUCAUCUUGUGCAAAAACAGAGAAAACAAAGAAACAAAGAUUCCUAAAGCAGCUUUUCUUUGAUAAGAGUAACUGCUAUAAAUAGCAGCAAGCUACAUCUCAUUUACUUUGCAGUCAUGACUACAGUGGUAGAAAGCAGGAGAUAUAACAUGCUAUUUGCAAAAAGUACAACUUCAAAUACCUAAGCUGAUAUAUAUUAAUUUUAUGAGACAUUGUUAGUCAUAGUCUAAAGCAAUUAUCCAAAAGCAUCAGUAUAAAAAGCAUUAAACACAAUCCCAGUGUAUCUUUUCAUGACUAUGCUUAAAGAGACAAAAUCACCAAUUGUGCUGAACUGAUACAAACAAAAAUCAAGAGAGCAGAAUAAAUAUCUGGCACUGCAAAACAGACACAUUAUUAGCAAUUGGGCAGGCCAAAAUACCUGCCUAUUUAUGUUCAGAAAGGUUGAUCAAAUGCAGUCUGUCCAUAUUUGAAAUAAGAUUUUCUCUUGAACCAGUUUUAAAUAAAAAGCAUUGAUGAAAUAUAGUGUCAUGUUAAUUGCAACUACCGUAUAUACUCGAAUAUAAGCCGAUCCGAGUAUAAGCCGAGGUCCCCAAUUUUACCCCAAAAAACUGGGGUAAACUGGGGACUCGAGUAUAAGCCGAGGGUGGGAAAUGAGGCAGCUACCGGUCGGGGAAACCCUCCCUCCCUCAGCCGAGAAGGCUGGCGGCUCCCCCGCCCCGCCCUCUCACUGCACCGGCAGGGCUUCCCCGCGCUAAUGCAAAAGCCCGCCAAGUUUGCACCAUCCGGUAUAAUGUGAAAAAAAGAAGAAAAAAAAAAACUCGAGUAUAAGCCGUAUAUACUCGAGUAUAAGCCGAGGGGACG